AUUGAACGCUGGCGGCAGGCCUAACACAUGCAAGUCGAGCGAGCGGCGGACGGGUGAGUAAUGCCUCGGAAUCUGCCUGGUAGUGGGGGAUAACGUCCGGAAACGGUAGCUAAUACCGCAUACCAUCAGAUGUGCCCAGAUGGGAUUAGCUAGUUGGUGGGGUAACGGCUCACCAAGGCGACGAUCCCUAGCUGGUCUGAGAGGAUGACCAGCCAAACUGGAACUGAGACACGGCCCAGACUCCUACGGGAGGCAGCAGUGGGGAAUUUUGGACAAUGGGCGAAAGCCUGAUGCAGCCAUGCCGCGUGUGUGAAGAAGGCCUUCGGGUUGUAAAGUACUUUUGGCGGGGAAGCGUUACCCGCAGAAGAAGCACCGGCUAACUCCGUGCCAGCAGCCGCGGUAAUAC
rnacentral:rRNA from 1 species